UACGUAGGGUGCGAGCGUUAAUCGGAAUUACUGGGCGUAAAGCGUGCGCAGGCGGCGCGUUAAGACAGGUGUGAAAGCCCCGAGCUUAACUUGGGAAUUGCGCUUGUGACUGGCGUGCUGGAGUGUGGCAGAGGGAGGUGGAAUUCCACGUGUAGCAGUGAAAUGCGUAGAGAUGUGGAGGAACACCGAUUGCGAAGGCAGCUGACGAAACUGUAACUGACGCUGAUGCACGAAAGCGUGGGGAUCAAACAGG
rnacentral:rRNA from 1 species